GAUGAACGCUGGCUACAGGCUUAACACAUGCAAGUCGGGGGGAAACGACGGGGAAGCUUGCUUCCCCGGGCGUCGACCGGCGCACGGGUGAGUAACGCGUAUCCAACCUGCCUCUGACUGAGGGAUAACCCGUCGAAAGUCGGCCUAAUACCUCAUGGUAUCGUCUGCGGGCAUCCAACGACGAUUAAAGAUUUCAUCGGUCAGGGAUGGGGAUGCGUCUGAUUAGCUUGUUGGCGGGGUAACGGCCCACCAAGGCUACGAUCAGUAGGGGUUCUGAGAGGAAGGUCCCCCACAUUGGAACUGAGACACGGUCCAAACUCCUACGGGAGGCAGCAGUGAGGAAUAUUGGUCAAUGGGCGAGAGCCUGAACCAGCCAAGUAGCGUGCAGGAAGACGGCCAUAUGGGUUGUAAACUGCUUUUAUGCGGGGAUAAAGUGAGGGACGUGUCCCUCAUUGCAGGUACCGCAUGAAUAAGGACCGGCUAAUUCCGUG
rnacentral:rRNA from 1 species